AUUGAACGCUGGCGGCAGGCUUAACACAUGCAAGUCGAGCGGGGUGAUGGUGCUUGCACUAUCACUUAGCGGCGGACGGGUGAGUAAUGCUUAGGAAUCUGCCUAUUGGUGGGGGACAACAUCUCGAAAGGGAUGCUAAUACCGCAUACGUCCUACGGGAGAAAGCAGGGGAUCACUUGUGACCUUGCGCUAAUAGAUGAGCCUAAGUCGGAUUAGCUAGUUGGUGGGGUAAAGGCCUACCAAGGCGACGAUCUGUAGCGGGUCUGAGAGGAUGAUCCGCCACACUGGGACUGAGACACGGCCCAGACUCCUACGGGAGGCAGCAGUGGGGAAUAUUGGACAAUGGGGGGAACCCUGAUCCAGCCAUGCCGCGUGUGUGAAGAAGGCCUUAUGGUUGUAAAGCACUUUAAGCGAGGAGGAGGCUCUUUUGGUUAAUACCCAAGAUGAGUGGACGUUACUCGCGGAAUAAGCACCGGCUAACUCUGUGCCAGCCGCCGCGGUAA
rnacentral:rRNA from 1 species